rnacentral:rRNA from 1 species
GUUAGGAAUAUUGGACAAUGGGCGCAAGCCUGAUCCAGCCAUGCCGCGUGAACGAUGAAGGCCUUCGGGUUGUAAAGUUCUUUAGCCGAUGAUUAUAAUGACUGUAGUCGGAAAAUAAGCCCCGGCUAACUUCGUGCCAGCAGCCGCGGUAAUACGAAGGGGGCGAGCGUUAUUCGGAAUCACUGGGCGUAAAGCGUGCGUAGGCGGUCUCGUAAGUUAGGAGUGAAAGCCCAGGGCUCAACCUUGGAAUUGCUCUUAAAACUGCAAGGCUAGAAUCUCGGAGAGGAUAGCGGAAUUUCCAGUGUAGCAGUGAAAUGCGUAGAUAUUGGAAGGAACACCAUUGGCGUAAGCGGCUAUCUGGACGAGUAUUGACGCUGAGGCACGAAAGCGUGGGGAUCAAACAGGAUUAGAAACCCCUGUAGUCC